UGGGGAAUAUUGCACAAUGGGGGAAACCCUGAUGCAGCAACGCCGCGUGAGUGAAGAAGUAUUUCGGUAUGUAAAGCUCUAUCAGCAGGGAAGAAAAUGACGGUACCUGACUAAGAAGCACCGGCUAAAUACGUGCCAGCAGCCGCGGUAAUACGUAUGGUGCAAGCGUUAUCCGGAUUUACUGGGUGUAAAGGGAGCGCAGGCGGUUUGGCAAGUCUGAUGUGAAAAUCCGGGGCUCAACCCCGGAACUGCAUUGGAAACUGUCAGACUAGAGUGUCGGAGAGGUAAGUGGAAUUCCUAGUGUAGCGGUGAAAUGCGUAGAUAUUACGCAGAACUCCGAUUGCGAAGGCAGCUUACCAAAUCGCUACUGACGCUGAGGCACGAAAGCGUGGGGAUCGAACAGGAUUAGAUACCCUGGUAGU
rnacentral:rRNA from 1 species